rnacentral:lncRNA from 1 species
AGAUCUACAUCUAGAUCUUAAUUUGCUCUUACUUGUGAUUAAGAGCAUUUUGGUGUUGGUAUUUGGUUUUAUUUACUUAAAGGCAAAGUUUGCAUUGUGCUAUUGUUGAGAUAGAUCCUUGGUAAUCUAACUUAAUAAUUUCAUGUCCUAAAGUUUUUGAUUGUACUUAGAAGGCCUUUUAUAGUAUAUAGAGGUGAUUUGUGAGCAUAAGAGAGAUAUUAGAAUGGCAAGUCAGAUCUAAGACAC